CGGACGGGUGAGUAACACGUGGAUAACCUACCUAUAAGACUGGGAUAACUUCGGGAAACCGGAGCUAAUACCGGAUAAUAUAUUGAACCGCAUGGUUCAAUAGUGAAAGACGGUUUUGCUGCCACUUAUAGAUGGAUCCGCGCCGCAUUAGCUAGUUGGUAAGGUAACGGCUUACCAAGGCAACGAUGCGUAGCCGACCUGAGAGGGUGAUCGGCCACACUGGAACUGAGACACGGUCCAG
rnacentral:rRNA from 1 species